AGGAGAGCCUGUGAAUGGACUUCAUAAAACAAGAUCAGACUUGCAUUACAGCAAAUUACAUGUGAAGAACUUCUACAUGGGAGUUUAAUUGUGGGAUUCAGAUAUUAAGGAGAUUGGUCAAUCUUCCUAAGAGAUAGUCCUUCCACCCCACUCAAACCCCAAACUCUGUGCAAAUUCAACUGUUUCUGGAAAUUGUCUUCAGACUGCUGAAAAAAAUCAUACAUGGUAAAUUGGAUCCACUAUAAAUUCAUUGUCAGCAACCUUAACAAUGGCUUCAAUAUUGUGAUAAUUUCCUAUUUCCUUGGAAAGUUCUCCCAUUUUUCACAAUGACUAUUGUUAAGCCAUCUCUACUUUUCUUAACAUUGUUUACACUCCUCUUAUUCCCCAAUCACCCUAAGCAGUGUUGUCAUCUACUUCAAAGAAAAAAUAAAUCUCAAUUUUUUGGCAUCAGACCUUCAAUUUAACUACUUAUACCAUCUUUUUCUCCUUCCUGCAUAGUUUCCUUCCACAAAUAUAAAAUUAAUUCCUCCCUCCAUCCAUGGCAGUGAUCCUCUCCCUGCCUAAUGUCCCAAACUUUAUCAUCCAUUCUCCCAAACCUGUUCCUCCUCUAAUGUUCCACCCAACAGUAAGUCAGCCCUGGAAGUCAUCCUUGACUCCUUCCUCUCCAAUUACCAAACCUCAUAUAUUCCACAUCCUAAAUAUCUCUUAAAUCUAUCUCAUUAUUUCUCUCCUCUGCCACCAUUAUAACUAUCAUCUGUCCACCCAUUCUAACAGCCUGAGUGGUCUCUUGACCUCCAAGCUGACUUCUCUCUAAUCCAUUAACCACUUUGUAGCCAUCAGCUAUCUUUCCAAAAUGCUGCACUGGUAACUCACUUCUUCAGUUUUAUUGCCCAUGGAAUAA
rnacentral:lncRNA from 10 species